rnacentral:lncRNA from 1 species
GUCCCGCGCCCGCCGCUGCCGCUGAGGUUACUUAUAUGCCGUGGCUGGGUGGCUGCCGGCGCUGCCGACCGCCGUCCGCCGCCUCGGCAUCCCGAACCGCCUUCCGCCGUGCCGGGCCGGCGCGCAGGUGUUCAGGAAAAAAAUGCACAAAAUCCUGACUGACCGGAAUAAUUCAUGAAGAAGGGGCUGGAUCCGUGGGUCAGAGAACACAGGACCAGUGUGCCAUCCCAAGGCCGAAGUCUGGUGUCUCGGAUUUGACCCCGCGUUGCCCACUCCUGCUGGAUCUUGUCCUGUCGAGGGACAGAACAUGCUGACGCCCUCCUGAAGAAUGGGAAGAGAGGAGAUUUUGAAAGCACAGAUUGCAAUACUCUGCCAGAGGCCAAGGAAACCAAUGCCUGGAGGGAUUGCCUCCACACCAAGAGGAGCAUCAAGGAUACUGGAGCUGGAGGCACACAGGCCCAAGAAGGGCAGAAAUGCCAGCAAUGACCAAGGGCCACCCAUAACAGUUCCCUGGCUGUCUACCCAGGACCCA